AUUGAACGCUGGCGGCAUGCCUUACACAUGCAAGUCGAACGGCAGCACGGGAGCAAUCCUGGUGGCGAGUGGCGAACGGGUGAGUAAUAUAUCGGAACGUGCCCAGUCGUGGGGAUAACGUAGCGAAAGCUACGCUAAUACCGCAUACGAUCUAUGGAUGAAAGCGGGGGAUCGCAAGACCUCGCGCGAUUGGAGCGGCCGAUAUCAGAUUAGGUAGUUGGUGAGGUAAAGGCUCACCAAGCCGACGAUCUGUAGCUGGUCUGAGAGGACGACCAGCCACACUGGGACUGAGACACGGCCCAGACUCCUACGGGAGGCAGCAGUGGGAAUUUGGACAAUGGGCGCAAGCCUGAUCCAGCAAUGCCGCGUGCAGGAUGAAGGCCUU
rnacentral:rRNA from 1 species